GAGACUGAAAAUGACAGAAGCGCUGCUUCCAGAGGCCUGCGAGAGCAUGAAUGCAGAACCACAGAAGCAGAUGCUUCAGAGAAAGAUGAAGAACCCUCUACCUCAGUAAAGACAGUCAAGCGAAAGCGUCGCGUCACAGAAACUGACGGUUUACAGAAAGAAGAUGAAGAACUCUCUACCUCAGUAAAGACAGUCGAGCGCAAGCGUCGCGUCACAGAAACUGUCGCCUCAGAGAAAGAUGAACAACCCUCUUCCUCAGUAAAGACAGUCAAGCGCAAGCGUCGCGUCACAGAAACUGACGCUUCAGAGAAUGAUGAUCAACCCUCUACCUCAGGAAAGACAGUCAAGCGCUCUCCUCCAGACAAUCAACACAUUAUAGAGAUGUUCUCAGG